CAGAUCCAGUAAGCUGUGGCAGAACUAUAGCAUGGAUUUUAGACAUCUAUCUCAAUUUGAAGAUGUCAAGUGGCUAAAUGAUUCACUCUCUCUUUAGAUGUCACUCCCUGGCAGGUGGAACCGGCAGCAAAGAGUCCUCUCUAAGCACUUCUUAAAUGCAGAAAUGCUUCAUUUUCCAAGGCAAUCAAGAUCAGCAGGUACUUAAUCUCUGUUUUAUCUGGAAAGAGACUAGCUCUUAGUUGGACUUCAACUAACUCUCAUCCAGCACCCAGAGUCAGCUUCAAAUAAAU